rnacentral:snRNA from 1 species
GGAUGUGAGGGCAAUCUGGCUGCGACACCUGUCACCCCAUUGAUCGCCAGGGUUGAUGCGGCUGAUCUGUCUGGCUAGGCAGGUGUCCCGUUCCUCCCUCACCGCUCCAUGUGCGUCCCUCCCAAAGCUGCACGCUCAGUGAGAGGACGACCUUCCCCGCUAGAGGAGGACCGGUCUGCACUCCCCUGCCACAACCUCCAAGCAAGCACUCAUGAUGGAGACGUCAGGGAAAAGUCUGGGCUCCUCAGCCCCCAGCCUUCAAAAGCAGGGG